GAGGACCACAUAUAGCAAAUAUUACGGUAUCGGUGAGGAUGCACUGGCCACCGUGGAGAGCGUGGACCGUGUUGUCACGGUUGAGGAGGAUAAUGAGCCCACCCUGGACCAGGAGGACCCAGUCCUUGUUCAGUAUGUGGUUGAGGAGGUUGGGCACCGGCCCUGUCUGGCUUUAGUCCCUUGGUCUGGACCUCUGUGGGUUCCCAGCUCUCCAACAUAUUACCUUACCCAUGCUGGGAGGAUGCUGGUGAGAGAGCUGGCAGUGUUAAACAUGCAGGUA